AGAGUUUGAUCCUGGCUCAGCGCGAACGCUGGCGGCGUGCCUAACACAUGCAAGUCGUGCGGAGGGGUGAUGAGCCCCUCAGCGGCAAACGGGUGAGUAACACGUGAGUAACCUGCCCCUGGGAAGGGGAUAACCCUCCGAAAGGGGGGCUAAUACCCUAUAUUGCCGGGGACCACUAAGGUCACCCGGUGAAAGGUGGCCUCUGCCCUUCAUGGGUAUGCUACCGCCCAGGGAGGGGCUCGCGGCCCAUCAGGUAGUUGGUGGGGUAACGGCCUACCAAGCCUAUGACGGGUAGCCGGCCUGAGAGGGUGGCCGGCCACAGUGGGACUGACCCACGGCCCACACCCCUACGGGGGGCAGCAGUGGGGAAUCGUGGGCAAUGGGCGAAAGCCUGACCCCGCGACGCCGCGUGGGGGAUGAACCCCUUCGGGGUGUAAACCCCUGUCGGGGGGGACGAUGUGUCCUGGGGUGAAUAAUCCCAGGGCAUGACGGUACCCCCAGAGGAAGGGACGGCUAACUACGUGCCAGCAGCCGCGGUAAUACGUAGGUCCCGAGCGUUGCGCGA
rnacentral:rRNA from 1 species